rnacentral:rRNA from 1 species
GACGAACACUGGCGGCGCGCCUAACACAUGCAAGUCGAACGAGCGAGAGAGAGCUUGCUUUCUUGAGCGAGUGGCGAACGGGUGAGUAACGCGUGAGGAACCUGCCUCAAAGAGGGGGACAACAGUUGGAAACGACUGCUAAUACCGCAUAAGCCCACGGUGCCGCAUGGCACAGAGGGAAAAGGAGCAAUCCGCUUUGAGAUGGCCUCGCGUCCGAUUAGCUAGUUGGUGAGGUAACGGCCCACCAAGGCGACGAUCGGUAGCCGGACUGAGAGGUUGAACGGCCACAUUGGGACUGAGACACGGCCCAGACUCCUACGGGAGGCAGCAGUGGGGAAUAUUGCACAAUGGGGGAAACCCUGAUGCAGCGACGCCGCGUGGAGGAAGAAGGUCUUCGGAUUGUAAACUCCUGUUGUUGGGGAAGAUAAUGACGGUACCCAACAAGGAAGAGACGGCUAACUACGUG